AAAAAAGGAACCAAUUUCGGUGCGUAGUAUAAUAAAUUAUUAACGUGUAAGCACGAAGCGUUCGUGUAAGAUUCAUUAAAAUAAAAUAAAAAGACAAAUAAAUAUGUUUUAAUAUUACUGUGGAAGUGAUAAUAUUAUAUAUGUGUAAAAAAAUAAAAGUAGAGCUUAUUGUGUUGUGAAUAAUUAUCGUAGUUAAUCACAUUAAAAUUUAGAUAUUAAUUUUUCAUUUUGCAAUUCCAAAGCCUGGUAGCAGUUUUGUUUUUUGUCGAAAAUAUAUUUGGAAAAUUAAAAAAGAUCGAUAGACUAAAAGCCUGACAACAUGUUCUAAAAAGAAGUCUAAAUCCGAAUAUGAGAGUGUCUUCGGUGCAUUUGGAAAGAAGUAAUUUUUGAUUACCAGAUAUUAUAUCAAAAAAGAUGAUUUUUUAAGCACAGUAUUGUAAAACUCACAACAUCACUGAUAUAUUUUCGUUACCAUUUCUGCAUUUUAUUAAAAGACCAGCUUGGAGAAUUUUUUCAACAUUAAUAUUGGGUUGGCAACUAAGUGAGUGCGGAUUUGUUGGUUGGCAACUAAAAAAACAACACUCUGCCUCGGAAUAAGUAAGAAAAAAAAAU
rnacentral:lncRNA from 1 species